ACCUCUGAGGCCGAGUGGUCAAGGCACGGACUUUCAACCCGGAAGUGCUGGGUUCGAAUCCCUGCCAGGGCG
rfam:Asian citrus Psyllid, Diaphorina citri - Florida Strain, whole genome shotgun sequence.